CGUCAUUCUCCUGCGUCAGCCUCCCGAGUAGCUGGGACUGCAGGCGCCCGCCACCAUGCCUGGCUAAUUUUUUGUAUGUUUAGUAGAGACGGGGUUUCACCGUGUUAGCCAGGAUGGUCUCUAUCUCCUGACCUUGUGAUCUGCCUGCCUCGGCCUCCCGAAGUGCCGGGAUUACAAGCGUGAGCCACCAUUCCCGGCCCAAAGAGGAGAAGAAGUAUGAAGUGCUUGCUUGGACCUUUCUACUGUGCUUAUUAUUCUGUCUUCUCCUCAUGGCAACUCUGCUCAGGCAACUCUUCCUCUGAGGAUCCUUCCAGUGACAAUUCAAGAAUUAGCGACUCAAUUCCCAGGGUCCCUUAGACCUUCGACCUGCUUGUGGGCAAUUUGGAAACAAGGAUUGUGCCUGAAUCACCUUUGCAUUCCUAGCAUCGUUUUUCCUGGAUAAUAAUUUGUUCAAUAUAUGUUCAAUAAUUGUUCAAUUAUUCAAUAACAAAUGUUCAAUAAAUGUGUGUUAAAUGAAUGACCACAGCUCCUAUAGCAGGUAGCUGACUUUGUGUCUCCUCAACCAAUCUCUGAGCUCUUUGAAACAAAGCCUAUUUUGUUUGAAUGUAAAUUUAUCAUCCCAGUUUCUGGUACAGGGUAGGGAACUAAUGCAUAUGUGGUGAAACAAUCAAUGCCUUAGUGCUUAUGAAGAAUAUCACUGUGUUACACAGAAGCAUGGAAUGACUAAUGUUAAGCUAAACUCAAGUUACUUAGGGAAUAUUAACUUGCAUUUAUUAUACUCUGGGGGAAAAACACAUAUAUGUGUAUAUAUGUAUAACAUAUGUAUGUAUACACAUAUCAGAAUUUGUAUAUGAGAAUGUCUGAUUACUAUCAAAAUACUAUGAUUAAGAAUUAAUUGCAAGACUUUGUAAUUAAAGGUGUCGACACCUCUUAUGUCUCCCUAUUUCUUGUAUUUGGAUUAUCUCUUUCCCUGCCUAUGCUAGAUAUACAAGGUGAUGCCGUGAUUGUGUCUGAUUUAAGCACCAUGACAGUGAUUUGGAGUAACUGUGAAAUUAUUCAUUUUGUGUUUUUUCCAAGCCUUCUGUGUUUCAGUUGCACAGACUGCUCUGACACUGUUAGCGAUGGCAAUCAAAUGCCAGCACAAGAAGCAAGGGGGCACAAAUGAAUCUCCUGAUGAGGUCUAUUUACAGUUCUUGCAGAAUAUUAUACGUUUUUUACUUCAAAACCUCUAGAGUUUUUUAUUUUUAAAACUUUGGUGUAUUUGAGAAUUGGGGCUGGUCAUUUCCUGGUAUGGCUAAUGGUAAAAUAUCAGCUCUUUCUCUCGUUAAUUCAUUUGAGGGAGAUUUCGUUAAGAGGAAGAUUCAGUGAUGAACUCAUGGAGGGAGAGCUGUACCUCUGGUUAGGCUCAGGAGUCGAGAGUGUGAGCUAUGGAGUGAAAGUAGGUGUUUUCAAAUCUGCGUCUACUGUUCCUGAUAGUUAAACACUGGGCAGGUCACUUACUUUGUGCUUCUGUUUCCUCAGCUGCAAAAAAAACUAGUACUUGCUCCAUGACAUUGUGAGGUUUAGAAUUAAUCCAUGCUUACGACAGUGACUGUCAAACCAAAAGUACACAAUAGAUACUAUCUGUUACUAUUGUUCUGUUUUUUUAUUCUUUAUAUUGUUUUACAUCUGAGAACUUCAAAGAUUAUUUGAUACAAAUAUCUCCACUGAUAAAAAUAUCAGUAGAGAAAUAGGAUAAUUAUGCUUAACCAGCUCACAUGUUAUCAAGCA
rnacentral:lncRNA from 1 species